AUUGAACGCUGGCGGCAGGCUCAACACAUGCAAGUCGAGCGCGCGGCGGACGGGUGAGUAAUGUCUGGGAAACUGCCUGAUGGAGGGGGAUAACUACUGGAAACGGUAGCUAAUACCGCAUACCAUCAGACGUGCCCAGAUGGGAUUAGCUUGUAGGUGGGGUAAUGGCUCACCUAGGCGACGAUCCCUAGCUGGUCUGAGAGGAUGACCAACCACACUGGAACUGAGCCACGGUCCAGACUCCUACGGGAGGCGGCAGUGGGGAAUAUUGCACAAUGGGGGCAAGCCUGAUGCAGCCAUUCCGCGUAAGUGAAGAAAGCCUUCGGGUUUUAAAGCACUUUCAGCGGGAAGGCGUUACACGCAGAAGCAGCACCGGCUAACUCCAUGCCAGCCGCCGCGGUAAUAC
rnacentral:rRNA from 1 species